UACGGGGGGGGCAAGCGUUGUUCGGAAUUACUGGGCGUAAAGGGCUCGUAGGCGGCCAACUAAGUCAGACGUGAAAUCCCUCGGCUUAACCGGGGAACUGCAUCUGAUACUGGAUGGCUUGAGUUCGGGAGAGGGAUGCGGAAUUCCAGGUGUAGCGGUGAAAUGCGUAGAUAUCUGGAGGAACACCGGUGGCGAAGGCGGCCUUCUGGACAGUUCCUGACACUGAGGCACGAAGGCCAGGGGAGCAAACGGG
rnacentral:rRNA from 1 species